rnacentral:rRNA from 1 species
AGCGAACGUUAGCGGCGCGCCUAACACAUGCAAGUCGCACGAGAAAGGGGGCAACCCCCGGUACAGUGGCGCACGGGUGAGUAACACGUGGAUUACCUGCCCUGGAGUGGUGGAUAACCUGCCGAAAGGUGGGCUAAUACAGCAUGAGACCACGCAGUUUCGACUGUGAGGUCAAAGCGGGCUGAUGUUUACAAGCUCGCGCUCUAGGAUGAACCUGCGGCCCAUCAGCUAGUUGGUAGGGUAACGGCCUACCAAGGCAAAGACGGGUAGCUGGUCUGAGAGGAUGAUCAGCCACACUGGAACUGAGACACGGUCCAGACUCCUACGGGAGGCAGCAGUGGGGAAUCUUGCGCAAUG